ACCGCAAACCGACACUGGUGCGCGAGAUGAGUAUUCUAAGGCGCUUGAGAGAACUCAGGAGAAGGAACUCGGCAAAUUGACACCGUAACUUCGGAAGAAGGUGUGCCCUAGUAGUGUGAAGUGAACAACGGAGCAUGAAUGGGUUGCAAAAAAUCGGUGGCUGCGACUGUUUAUUAAAAACACAGCACUCUGCAAACACGAAAGUGGACGUAUAGGGUGUGACGCCUGCCCGGUGCUGGAAGAUUAAAUGAUGGGGUGCAAGCUCUUGAUUGAAGUCCCAGUAAACGGCGGCCGUAACGAUAACGGUCCUAAGGUAGCGAAAUUCCUUGUCGGGUAAGUUCCGACCUGCACGAAUGGCGUAACGAUGGCCACACUGUCUCCUCCUGAGACUCAGCGAAGUUGAAAUGUUUGUGAUGAAGCAAUCUCCCCGCGGAAAGACGGAAAGACCCCAUGAACCUUUACUGUAGCUUUGUAUUGGACUUUGAACAGAUCUGUGUAGGAUAGGUGGGAGGCUUUGAAGCAGGGUCGCUAGAUCUUGUGGAGCCAACGUUGAAAUACCACCCUGGUGUGUUUGAGGUUCUAACCUAGGUCCAUUAUCUGGAUCGGGGACAGUGCAUGGUAGGCAGUUUGACUGGGGCGGUCUCCUCCCAAAGCGUAACGGAGGAGUUCGAAGGUACGCUAGUUACGGUCGGACAUCGUGACGAUAGUGCAAUGGCAUAAGCGUGCUUAACUGCGAGACUGACAAGUCGAGCAGAUGCGAAAGCAGGACAUAGUGAUCCGGUGGUUCUGUAUGGAAGGGCCAUCGCUCAACGGAUAAAAGGUACUCUGGGGAUAACAGGCUGAUACCGCCCAAGAGUUCAUAUCGACGGCGGUGUUUGGCACCUCGAUGUCGGCUCAUCUCAUCCUGGGGCUGUAGCCGGUCCCAAGGGUAUGGCUGUUCGCCAUUUAAAGAGGUACGUGAGCUGGGUUUAAAACGUCGUGAGACAGUUUGGUCCCUAUCUUCCGUGGGCGCUGCAGAUUUGAGGAAGCCUGCUCCUAGUACGAGAGGACCGGAGUGGACACACCUCUGGUGUAUCGGUUGUCACGCCAGUGGCAUUGCCGAGUAGCUAAGUGUGGAAGAGAUAACCGCUGAAAGCAUCUAAGCGGGAAACUCGUUUCAAGAUGAGAUCUGCCGGGGCCUUGAGCCCCCUGAAGAGUCGUUCAAGACCAGGACGUUGAUAGGUCAGGUGUGGAAGCGCAGUAAUGCGUUAAGCUAACUGAUACUAAUUGCUCGUGCGGCUUGACCC
rnacentral:rRNA from 1 species